AACGAACGCUGGCGGCAGGCUUAACACAUGCAAGUCGAGCGCCCCGCAAGGGGAGCGGCAGACGGGUGAGUAACGCGUGGGAACGUACCUUUUGGUUCGGAACAACUCCGGGAAACUGGAGCUAAUACCGGAUAAGCCCUAACGGGGAAAGAUUUAUCGCCGAAAGAUCGGCCCGCGUCUGAUUAGCUAGUUGGUGAGGUAACGGCUCACCAAGGCGACGAUCAGUAGCUGGUCUGAGAGGAUGAUCAGCCACACUGGGACUGAGACACGGCCCAGACUCCUACGGGAGGCAGCAGUGGGGAAUAUUGGACAAUGGGCGCAAGCCUGAUCCAGCCAUGCCGCGUGAGUGAUGAAGGCCUUAGGGUUGUAAAGCUCUUUUGUCCGGGAAGAUAAUGACUGUACCGGAAGAAUAGGCCCCGGCUAACUUCGUG
rnacentral:rRNA from 1 species